UCAGUGGUAUUAAGUAUAGCAUUCAGUGGUAUUAAGUGUACCAGUUCAGUGGUAUUAAGUGUACCAUUCAGUGGUAUUAAGUGUACCGUUCAGUGGUGUUAAGUGUAGAGUUCAGUGGUGUUAAGUGUAGAGUUCAGUGGUAUUAAGUGUAGAGUUCAGUGGUAUUAAGCGUAGAGUUCGGUGGUAUUAAGCGUAGAGUUCGGUGGUAUUAAGUGUACCGUUCGGUAGUGUUAAGUGUAGAGUUCGGUGGUGUUAAGUGUAGAGUUCGGUGGUAUUAAGUGUAGAGUUCGGUGGUAUUAAGUGUAC